UAGAAGCUUAUCAAUUAUGAUAAAAUUAUUAACAAUAAUAAAUUUCUAUCACUGAUAGAUUUAUUACAAGUGAUAAAAGUAUAUUAUUGAUGAACACCUAUUAUUAGUGAUAGACUCAUAUAUGUUACGACAUUCUAGAAUUUGACCACGGAUUAAUUGAAGAAUUCAAUAAUAUCCAAAGAGCUCAAAAUUUUCAAUUAUGCAAGUCAUUCAACUAUUGUUUUAUUUCUCCCAUCUAUGUAUCUUGAUAAUGAAAUAGAUAAUUGAGAGUCCGGAUAAAGUUGAAGAUAGAGAUGCUGGAAUAAUUCUUGUGAUGUUGUUUGUGUUUCAGUUCUGGGAUGUGGUUCUUAUAAUAAUCAGCUAUUCUUUAAGCUUUUGAUUCCAUUAUUGUUUUCAGGUUUAUUGUAGCAACCAUCUUUGUAAUGUGGUCUUGGCAGCUGCUGAAUUAUACGAUUUCAGGAGCAACCUUCUUUAGGUUUGGAAGAAUCUAUUGAAGCAAUGAAUCUAACUUGGAGCAAUUGAUGGAUAGAACACUUUUUGGUUUGUUUAGAGAUGAAGAUGGAAGAUUGGUAUGUAGAUUGUAUUCUAUAUUUUGGUUGUUUAUGCUUGUACAGAAAAUCAUGUUAUAUGCAUUAUGAUGAUAUUUACACUAGUUUUGAUUAAAGACUGUAAUUUCAUACUUGUAAAUUAUUCAAAACUUGAUUGAAAAUGUACGAAUAUUACAAAGUGUA